rnacentral:tRNA from 1 species
GGGCGAAUGCUUGUUUGCGCAGGUCGAUGCGACGCUUGAGCUACCUCGACACGGUAGGGGUCACAGGUUCGAGUCCUGUAUCGCCCA